UGGGGAAUAUUGGACAAUGGGCGAAAGCCUGAUCCAGCCAUGCCGCGUGUGUGAAGAAGGUCUUCGGAUUGUAAAGCACUUUAAGUUGGGAGGAAGGGCAUUAACCUAAUACGUUAGUGUUUUGACGUUACCGACAGAAUAAGCACCGGCUAACUCUGUGCCAGCAGCCGCGGUAAUACAGAGGGUGCAAGCGUUAAUCGGAAUUACUGGGCGUAAAGCGCGCGUAGGUGGUUUGUUAAGUUGGAUGUGAAAUCCCCGGGCUCAACCUGGGAACUGCAUUCAAAACUGACUGACUAGAGUAUGGUAGAGGGUGGUGGAAUUUCCUGUGUAGCGGUGAAAUGCGUAGAUAUAGGAAGGAA
rnacentral:rRNA from 1 species